rnacentral:rRNA from 1 species
UCGAACGGAGUAGCAAUACUUAGUGGCAGACGGGUGAGUAACAUGUAGGUAUCUGCCCUUUGGCCUGGAAUAACACGAGGAAACUUGUGCUAAUACCGGAUAAGUCUUUACGGAGAAAGCUUUAUGCACCAUUGGAUGAGCCUGCACUUGAUUAGUUUGUUGGUGGGGUAAUGGCCUACCAAGACUGUGAUCAAUAGCUGAUUUGAGAGGAUGAUCAGCCACAUUGGGACUGAGACACGGCCCAAACUCCUACGGGAGGCAGCAGUGGGGAAUCUUGCACAAUGGAGGAAACUCUGAUGCAGCGAUGCCGCGUGAGUGAAGAAGGCCCUUGGGUUGUAAAGCUCUUUCGUCGGGGAAGAAAAUGACUGUACCCGAAUAAGAAGGUCCGGCU